rnacentral:rRNA from 1 species
CAGCAGCCGCGGUAAUACGGAGGGGGCUAGCGUUGUUCGGAAUUACUGGGCGUAAAGCGCACGUAGGCGGCUUGGUAAGUUAGAGGUGAAAGCCCGGAGCUCAACUCCGGAAUUGCCUUUAAGACUGCCGAGCUAGUAGGUGAGAGAGGUAAGUGGAAUUCCGAGUGUAGAGGUGAAAUUCGUAGAUAUUCGGAAGAACACCAGUGGCGAAGGCGGCUCACUGGCUCAUACUGGACGCUGAGGUGCGAAAGUGUGGGGAGCAAACAGGAUUAGAUACCCCCGUAGUCCCUGUCUCUUAUAC